CUGCCGGUGAUAAACCGGAGGAAGGUGGGGAUGACGUCAAGUCAUCAUGGCCCUUACGAGUAGGGCUACACACGUGCUACAAUGGCAGAUACAAAGAGAAGCGACCUCGCGAGAGCAAGCGGAACUCAUAAAGUCUGUCGUAGUCCGGAUUGGAGUCUGCAACUCGACUCCAUGAAGUCGGAAUCGCUAGUAAUCGUAGAUCAGAAUGCUACGGUGAAUACGUUCCCGGGCCUUGUACACACCGCCCGUCACACCAUGGGAGUGGGUUGCAAAAGAAGUAGGUAGCUUAACCUUCGGGAGGGCGCUUACCACUUUGUGAUUCAU
rnacentral:rRNA from 1 species